CAGCCGCCGCGGUAAAACCAGCACCUCAAGUGGUCAGGAUGAUUAUUGGGCCUAAAGCAUCCGUAGCCGGCUCUGUAAGUUUUCGGUUAAAUCUGUAUGCUCAACAUACAGGCUGCCGGGAAUACUGCAGAGCUAGGGAGUGGGAGAGGUAGACGGUACUCGGUAGGAAGGGGUAAAAUCCUUUGAUCUAUUGAUGACCACCUGUGGCGAAGGCGGUCUACCAGAACACGUCUGACGGUCAGGGACGAAAGCUGGGGUAGCGAACCGGAUUAGAUACCCGGGUAGUCCCAGCCGUAAACGAUGCAUGCUAGGUGUUGGGUUGGCCACGAGCCACCCCAGUGCCGCAGGGAGGCCGUUAAGCAUGCCGCCUGGGAAGUACGAUCGCAAGAUUGAAACUUAAAGGAAUUGGCGGGGGAGCAC
rnacentral:rRNA from 2 species